UACGUAGGAGGCAAGCGUUGUCCGGAAUUACUGGGCGUAAAGCGCGUGUAGGUGGUGGGACAAGUCUGCUGUGAAAGCGCCUGGCUUAACCGGGCGAGGUCGGCGGAAACUGUCCGACUAGAGGACGGUAGAGGGGGGUGGAAUUCCCGGUGUAGUGGUGAAAUGCGUAGAGAUCGGGAGGAACACCUGUGGCGAAGGCGGCCCCCUGGGCCGGCCCUGACGCUCAUGCACGAAAGCGUGGGGAGCAAACAGG
rnacentral:rRNA from 1 species